GAUGAACGCUGGCGGCGUGCCUAAUACAUGCAAGUCGAACGCAUAGCGAAAGGUGCUUGCACCUUUCAAGUGAGUGGCGAACGGGUGAGUAACACGUGGACAACCUGCCUCAAGGCUGGGGAUAACAUUUGGAAACAGAUGCUAAUACCGAAUAAAACUUAGUGUCGCAUGACACAAAGUUAAAAGGCGCUUCGGCGUCACCUAGAGAUGGAUCCGCGGUGCAUUAGUUAGUUGGUGGGGUAAAGGCCUACCAAGACAAUGAUGCAUAGCCGAGUUGAGAGACUGAUCGGCCACAUUGGGACUGAGACACGGCCCAAACUCCUACGGGAGGCUGCAGUAGGGAAUCUUCCACAAUGGGCGAAAGCCUGAUGGAGCAUCGCCGCGUGUGUGAUGAAGGCUUUCGGGUCGUAAAGCACUGUUGUAUGGGAAGAACAGCUAGAAUAGGAAAUGAUUUUAGUUUGACGGUACCAUACCAGAAAGGGGCGGCUAAAUACGUG
rnacentral:rRNA from 1 species